GACAGAGGUGCCGAGCGUUAGGCGGAAUCACUGGGCUUAAAGCGUGUGUAGGCGGACAAUUAAGUACCUUGUGAAAUCCCACGGCUUAACCGUGGAACUGCUGGGUAUACUGGUUGUCUUGAGCCACUUAGGGGCGAGCGGAACAAAUGGUGGAGCGGUGAAAUGCGUAGAUAUCAUUUGGAACGCCAAUGGUGAAAACAGCUCGCUGGGAGUGUGCUGACGCUGAGACACGAAAGCCAGGGGAGCGAACGGG
rnacentral:rRNA from 1 species